rnacentral:lncRNA from 1 species
AAGAAAGGACUUUAGAAUCGGAUGCGCUCGCCCAGCGAGAAAGGCCCUGACCCUGCCAACCAAGUAUCAAAAAGAAAGAAGAGAAAGAAAGGAGAAGAGAACUUCGUAUUUUGGUAACUCUCUAGGAGUCAUCUUUAACCUUGAAUGCUAUUAAUAGAUUCUACAGCAAUAGUCCCUCGGACUCGGAAAGUAAUAACGAAAAUAGCUAACCCAAUAGCAGAUUCCGCAGCUGCCACCGUUGGAACCAAUGAAGCAAAUGAUUGACCCAUCAUAUCAUCCGAAGAAACAGAAAAUACCAAAAAGUUCGAAUUCACAGCUAAUAACAUUGAUUCAAUUGGCAUUGACAUAAUAGGAAUAUUUCGUCUAUUAAGGAGGAUUCCCCGAAUACCUGAAAUAGAGAUAAUCAUAGAAAAUGUGAAAUAUUUGAUAGGAUCCAUUUCGGGAACGUAGAAUGUAAGAGAAAUUCAAAUGUGAAACAAUAGGUGAGCUCUUCUACUUGAAAUAUCCAUUAAUUAUGGAUAUGGAAGAAAUAUUCUUUUUCAUUUUUUUAGUAACAAAAUAAAAGAAAAGUAGGACCAAACUGAGAGUUAGUAGCAUAAAAAAAGAUGGAUUUGUGAAUGAAAAAUAGAAGUUUCCAAUAGGAAAAUCCAUCAAUGGCACAAUCUCAAAUUGUUCAGGUGGGCCACUUAUUUCUAAUUGUGAAAAUGGGCCACUUAUUUCUAAUUGUUCAGGUGGGCUGGAGACGAGAUCUUUCACUAGAUCCACUUGUUCAGGUGGGCCACUUAGAUCUAAUUGUUCAGUUUGGUCACUUAUUUCUAAUUGUUCAGUUUGGUCGGGGUCGUCUGUACGCGCGUCUUUCUUUGGCUUUUUAAAGAUAUCCUCCGCCCGUCCCCCUAUACUGUAAUAAUAUUUCAAUGCGCGUAGUAUAUAGUCGCUCUCCCUCUCGUAACGGCCUCGUACAGGGAAACCUCUUUUGGCAGUCUCGAUAACAAUAGGCUCUCCUAAUUUCUCCUCUAUCUUCUCGAUAACUGGGCGAGGUUUAAGGACUGGAAAGCCCUUGGUCCCACAACUCUCAAUAAAAGUCGUGUAGUUAAAAGGUUCGGUCGAUUGAGAAGGACUGGCGGCGAAAUCUUCAUAAAUAGUAGACAGUCUUCCUUUAAAAAUAGAAGAGAAGGGUCUUUUACUUUUAUUGGGCAUUCUUGAUUGAUUGAGACAAAAAGAUUCCCUCAAUACAGCUUCACUCCGUCAAACCUGUACGAGUAGUGAAGAGGUAUAGAUUUAGUUGGUUGUUGACCAACGGAAAGCAUGGGAUCAAAAAAGGCAGAAUUUACGCAAUUUCUUUUCUUUUUUAAAUCUCUUUCUUUUUUUUCCCCAACGACAAAGGAACUUACGGGCGGGGCAUUUUCGGGGGCUAGCCCGCUUCCCACCAUUACUCAAUAGGGCAAUUCCUCGCACAUAAUUAAGGGAGCCAUUGAAAGGUGACUAAAACACCAGAAACGGGGACUACCCGAGCUAAUGAUAGAGGCAAGAACACUUUCCGGCCAAGUCCCAUUAAUUGAUCAUAACGAUAUCGUGGAAAUGCUGCACGGACCCAUAUAUAUAGGAACAGAAAAAGAAUCACCUUGAUACUAAACCAGAUCGAGCCCGGGAUCUUCUUGGAAAUGGGAAGAUCUAGGAUAGGCGGCCAACCUCCUGGAGAGAGCGAUGUGCAUAGACCAGGUGAGUAGGGAUGCAGCUCCGUGGACCGCUCGUCGGGCCUGAUAGGUGGUGGUAUCACACCCUUCUCAAAGGAACCGUACGUGACACUCUCGCGUCAUACGGCUCCGUCCCGGAAGCAGGACCUUCCCUUUCCUUUCCUUUGACCAACGGGCCCCCAAACCUUUCUUAUUUCGUGCCGAACCGGGUCUCCAUCUUCGAACUUCCCGUUCGAUGAGACCCCACCCCAGGUCUCGCUGUUUCCGUUUUCUAGGUCACGCCUUAACCUCGUUAGAAAGCGGAGUUGGCUAGCUGCCGGCAUAUCUUUUACGUUACCGGCCACAUAGUCCGCAGCGUCUUUCACUGCAUCGCAUUUGCCGGGGCUGAAUCCCCUUUCUUGAGCGAUCGCCUUCGCUCGUUGGCAGAACGCCUUGAUGCGUGCGUCUAGUUUGUUGGGGUGACACUCCGCCUCUUUAUACUCUUAGGAGGCGAGAAACUCCCGUUCCCUUCUCCUUCCUUACUCUUCCGAGGAUGGUUCAGGGGGAGCCGGUUCCGCCUCCGGCUGAGGAGGGAAAUUUCAAUCGAUAGGCGGUAGCUUCGACGAGCUGGGACGUGGAAGUGAAAACCCUAAACUUGAAACCCUACCCUUCUUUGCUACUCACUAUCUAAGGGGCAAAUCCGAAGUCGGUUCUCAAGGCCCGGAAGCUCGGGGAUUGAAUACCCCUAUGUUCCAAGUGACUAGCUUGGCUGGUGAUGCGUUCACCCACUUGCACGCUUCCUUGCAAGCACGAAAUCCUUAGUUCGCCCGCUACCACACGGGCCGGUGUACUCUUAUCGCUAACCCCGAGAGAGGCUAUACUCUAAGAGCCAACCGACUCAUUAUCCCUGGACGCAAGGAUUAAGAAAUAGCGAUGUAUCAGGGGCUGAGCGUACCUUCCGCUCAGGAACAAGAAAUGGAGCUAUUAAGUUAAGGUGCCGCUUUCCUUUUUCUAGCCCUUCUUUGGGUUCCCUAUCGAUGCGUGUAUGCCUUCGUCGAAGAAAGAGGGGAAUCACAAGAAAUUUUCAUACAACUAGGCCUAAUUCCAUCGAUGAAUCAUUCGAGAACGAAUUUUGCGAGACUAAUCUAAUCUUAUUCAACCUUAGAUGGGAAUUAGGGCGAAGCCUGGGGCGGUCUCUGCCUUCUUAACACGCGGCACACCAACUUGAAGUCUGAUUUGAAAAUCUCUCUCUACCUUCACAAAACUUCUCGCGCCCUUCUCGUAGUUUUGACUUGCUCUUAGGUAGGCUACCGUUGACCGGCUUCGCGAGACCAUUUCGGUCUACACACACAUGGGUGGCUAAGCGCUAUUGGGCGGAGCUUUCUCUCAAUCCAAGCUAACUAAUAGAAGAAAAGAGAAGAAAGGAAGAUCUUAUAAGGGACUCACCCCAUCUUUACAUAAGCUAUUUCUUGAACGGAAAAAAUAGAUGCUUUCAUGGACUACUUUGACUUUAGGGAUUUGCUUCAUCAUUAGCUAAAGAAGAGAGACAAGGGGGAAGCUCAGUCUAAUUGUCCGAAGUGAUUCUUUCUUGAUUGGAUGCCAGCUUUCUCUUAAUUCGUGCACUUACAUACAAAUCUAUAGGUAGUUCAUCUCCUUCUAAGAAAAAUAUCCAAAGUUUUCAUUUUUGAUCGAAUUCCGUCUAGUAAGCCUCGAGAUCUUACAGAUGCUGUUGAGAAUCGUCAUUAACCAAUCAUGUAUCGGACGCACCAUCCCUUGAAGUAAGUAAAGGGCGCAAAGAUGCGGAUUUGACCCGCACCCCCUUUCUUUUUCUUUUUUCGAUUUUUCGUUUUAGAAUAGAGAAAGAGUCGAAACUAAGGGUACGCUCUCUAGAAGAUUUGCUCGGAGCUUUUUGGUCGCCUGCUAUCUUAUCUUGAAACCUCUUUGCACAAAAAGAGACUGAGAUGACGAAGUGGAUGCGCCUUGAUUUCCUCCAACUCCUUACUUAAUGCCGCAAUGGAGUCCUCACCCCUGCCUUUAGAAGAGAAAGCCUUCAUACUAUAUUCGACUUGCAUGUGUUAAGCAUAUAACCUUUCAUCACAUUCAGUCGACUUUCAAUUCAAUCUCUGAGGAAGAGAAAGAUAUAGUUUAUAUACAGAAGAAACCUAGUUUUGAGUUCUAUUAAGGACCCGAAGAAGACAGGAGAACUGGGCAUUCACAAGACUGCUUUGAUUCUCAUCAUGAUACAUUCUUGUAGUAAGCGGGUGGUUGAUAAACACGUAUUAUUGGGGGGGGGCAGCAGGCAAUGGAUACCGUUCUCGCACCCGAGCCUGCAGUUGGUAGGUCAAAUCCCUCUGUCCAAGUGAUUGAGUUGAAGCUUUGGGCAUAGAGCGGAGCGAGCCCGGGGAGAGGAGUAGAGUCCAGCAACAUUGAGCCCCAAAAUAGAGUUUCUAUUCAAAUCCCUACUCAACACGGUGCCUUAAGGAGAAUCCGAAGCCGGUUGCUAGCGGAAGUAGCGCGACAAAGAGCAAAGCGGAGCAUUCACAAAGAAAUGGUGUAAGCAGAAGGGAAGGCGCAACGGUUAGCGACUGCCCGAGGAGUGAUCCCUCUCUUAUUUUCCCUUUUUUUAAGAUAAGAAAAGAGACAAUAAGCCCGUCAACAUUGAAGCUUCCGCUUUUGGCAGCUGUUAGGCAAGUGAUACCGUACGCCGCAAGUCCGCACCUAUAUAGUGAGGGUGCGUUAAGGCGAGUUGAUGAGCUAAUACGGCUGGCUUACUUUUCAUAUGUAUGUGGAUGUGGAGGGAACCUGGCGUUAAGCACUGGGGCCAGCCACAAAGGAAUAGGUUUGAAUGUUGAUAUAUACCGUCUUUCAGCUGACCUUUCCAAACCAUGCUUCGCAAUCAAGCUAGAAAAAGACUAAGCAAGUGCUGUCCUAAUGAAAUGGCGGAUAGUUUAGUAUAACAUUCAUUCCUGACCGCCGCUGCCUGCUUAAGACUAAAAGCUAGUAGUGAGACUUCUAUUCUUCCGCCCUAUCUAGUAAGAGCCUCUAAAGCUAUGUUUGGCGUAAUCAAUAUAAUAGUUGGGCUCGGCUUUACUGAAGAAGAAGGGGCGAAGUCUCAACUACCAGACUACUACUAUACCAAACGCACUCCACGAGUGGAUUAGUUGAGUGACUAGACUGAUACUCUAAACGAGACCAAUACUAUCAAAAAGAAAGUAGCAAAAAUCAUAAGAGAAGAAAAGCAAGUCAAGCAGUAUGCCUGGUUCACCAGGUUCUACCACUGCAGGGCCCAAUCAUAGUCAAAAGCGGAAAAGAGAGGAUUUGCAAGAAAAAGUCGAAUAGACUGACCUACGAGCAUAAGAAAGAAGAGGAAAUCGAAUUAUGUAUGAUGAGCUUGAGUCGAGUCACAAAAAGGGCUAUGAUGAGCUUGAGUCGAGUCACAAAAAAGGGUAUGAUGAGCUUGAGUCGAUUAUUUCCAAGAUCGAAUUCCAGUUUUUUCUUAUGUAGUGGAAACGCCCUACAAUCUGAAGUUUUACGCUUCAGGCAAGAAAUGUUCUUGGUGGAUGCAGGACUUGGGACCCCCAGAAUUUGUAUGCAAGAUGAGCUUACAGGGGUGCCAAUCAACCGAGCCACCAGGUUUGAGAAUAGGGUGGGAUUCCUGGAUCUAGUGGCCGGUGAAUCACUGAUCAAAGAGCAGAUUUUGGAGAGAUUCUUCAUCGAUCUAGUGGCCGGUGAAUCACUGAUCAAAGAGCGAGCAGCCGCCAGGUUUAAUGAUUUGGUGGGAUCUACAGAUGUAGUGGCUGGUGAACCGCUUCUUCUUCUUCCACGAAGAUUCAGACAAAACCGAGCUUGGAUGGAACUGAACAAGAUUGAGCGAACGAAGGCAAAGAUCAAAGGCUUUAUUAUUGAGAAAGUAAAAGGAGGUUAUUCAGUAGCCAUCGCAGGUUUCAUUACUUUUCUUCCAUUCCGCCGCAGAAGGAAAAGGAUAUUGAAUAAUCAAUUCACCGUUGAAAACAUUAACCCCAAAAAGAAGAAUAUUGUGGUCUUCUAACAAAAAAAGAAGAAUAUUCUGGUCUUUGAAGGAAUGAAAAAAAGGAGAGACUGGUAGAGCUCCUCUUUGUCAGCGGCAGCAUUAUCCCUUCUAUCUAUCAACCAUUUCAUUAUGGAACUUUCUCCCCACAACAAUCAUUUUGAAAAUAAUGUGCAAUUCAUAGCCCUCGAUGAUCGGGCAAAUGUUAUGGAAAAUUUCUGUGAUCAAGUAUCUAGAAACAUGGAUGCAACUGGUCUUCAGUUGCCACCAGCAUGGACGUCGGUAAGAGAGCUUGCCGAGCAUGUCUGGCAUGUUAAUGAUGAAGAACUUGUGACUAUUCCUUAUGUCAUCCAUCUCACAAAUGAACUGGCCCGUGAGGACUUUCAAAGUGGGUGUGUAUGGCAGGAAUUUGUUGAUGAGUUGGAAUUGAUUGUCCACAGUCCCACCUGAACAAUUUGAGAUUGUGCCAUUGAUGGAUUUUCCUAUUGGAAACUUCUAUUUUUCAUUCACAAAUCCAUCUUUUUUUAUGCUACUAACUCUCAGUUUGGUCCUACUUUUCUUUUAUUUUGUUACUAAAAAAAUGAAAAAGAAUAAAGAAAAUGGCAUGGGUUUGGGAGCCAAGCCGAAGCCUCCACCGCAGCUUCAACUGCAAAAAAAAUAAUUCGAAAGACCCCGAUCCUUAUUUUCGUUUUUUCUUUACUCUUUCUCAUUAUCACAGUAGUUUUGAUAAGAAGAAGAAGAAAAAAAAGUCUGAUUCUAUUUUACAUUAUGUGUUUCCUCCUUUCCCUUUUUAGUUGCCUUUUGAGAUUCUUCAUUAUGGACUUUUUUUGGCUUUUCUAGCACUCCCCACAGCCUUUAUCUUAUUUGUAUCGUCGAAUGAAAGUGAUAAUUCGACUAGAGAAUCAGGAAGUCUUCCCCGCCUGGAAUCUGAAUCGAGUUCGGAAUCACUCUAAACUUUUAGAAACGUUAUUGGCGCGGAGAAUGAGGCGGAAAUAUAUCGGCGUAUAAGACUCUUGGAGAAUGGUACGUACUAUAAUCUACCGCCUCAGAACACUCCGGGAGACUAUGCUGCCCUUGUUCGCGAAAAUGCGCCACAUUUAUCUAUCUUUAUCGCCGAAUUGAAAUUUUCUUUCUUUGAUCAAGAGUAUUUCGAACUUCAAGUAUUAGAGAGAAAGGGCCUUGUCCAAGACAAACUCCUUAACUUAAUGCUUGAAGAAGAGAAUCUUUCCUCUAUUAUUAUAUUAAUGAAUCCCCUUACUCAAACAUAAGAAAGGAGGCUUAUCACUUUCUUGAAGACAAGCUUCAGCCUGUUGGCGAUCCACGCCAUGCUUUUGAGCGAAAUCUUCUUGAGGGGAGUCUUCGCUUUUUUUUUACAGGAUUUGGAUCAACGGGGUAAAGAUUCCAGUGUUUACCAAGAUUUUUUGAAUUAUUUUCUCAAUUCUGAUUGAUUGCCUUUUUUGAUCCCAUGCUUUCCGUCGGUCAACAACCAACUAAAUCUAUACCUCUUCACUACUCGUACAGGCUUGACGGAGUGAAGCUGUAUUGAGGGAAUCUUUUUGUCUCAAUCAAUCAAGAAUGCCUCAACUGGAUAAAUUCACUUAUUUCACACAAUUCUUCUGGUCAUGCCUUUUCCUCUUUACUUUCUAUAUUCCUAUAUGCAAUGAUGGAGAUGGAGUACUUGGGAUCAGCAGAAUUCUAAAACUACGGAACCAACUGGUUUCACACCGGGAGAACAAGAUCCGGAGCAACGACCCCAACAGUUUGGAAGAUAUCUUGAGAAAAGGUUUUAGCACCGGUGUAUCCUAUAUGUACUCAAGUUUAUUCGAAGUAUCCCAAUGGUGUAACGCCGUCGACUUCUUGGGAAAAAGGAGGAAGAUGACUUUAAUCUCUUGUUUCGGAGAAAUAAGUGGCUCACGAGGAAUGGAAAGAAACAUAUUCUAUUUGAUCUCUAAGUCUGUACAUAGCAAUCCUGGGUGGGUCAUCACUUGUAGGAAUGACAUAAUGCUAAUCCAUGUUCCACACGGCCAAGGAAGCAUCGGUUUUUAAUCUCAUUAUGACUUGGUUGUUCGGAAGAGCAAUUAAUUCGAUCAGAAUAGUGGAAUGGAAGGCAGUAAAAGAAUGAAAUACUCCUUUCUUUUCCAAUCGCCCCGCGAAGACAGACGCUCGGAAAGGUUCUCGAGAUUCUCAAUCGCUCUUUUUAGUGGGGAGGAAUAGUGCGGGAAGGGGGCGAGACCAAGCCGAGCCACUAGUAGAGUAAGCCCUUCCCACGUGUCAAGUUGAAUAUAAAUAAAUGAAUGCAGCCUCAACCAGAGAGAUCAACCUGCGCCUUUGAGUUGAGGCCGCUGGCGGCGCAGAACGAACUAAUCCGCGACCAGCAAGUUUUCCGAAAGCGAACUGAAUGGAAUUGUUACUUUCCAAAAAUCUUGCUUCAAAGAAAUAAGGUCUAUUUUCCCACGUAGUUCGUCGGUCAAACCAACGAUUCUCUUCUCAAAGUAAUAGAGAGAGUCUUUUUCUAGUUAGACUUCUAUCAAUGGAAUGAAAGAACCAUCCCUUCCUAUUUCUUUGUUUGUCCUGUCAGAUAGAAAGAAAAUUAGACCCCAAAGAGCCCUUCUUUACUUUACUACUUUAGGGGGUGGGGGUGAAGGGGGGGUUUACAUAGAACCGAGGCAAAGUGGUUUAUGAUUGAAUCUCAGAGGCAUUCUUAUCAUUUGGUAGAUCCAAGUCCAUGGCCUAUUUCGGGUUCACUCGGAGCUUUGGCAACAACCGUAGGAGGUGUGAUGUACAUGCACUCAUUUCAAGGGGGUGCAACACUUCUCAGUUUGGGCCUCAUAUUUCUCCUAUAUACCAUGUUCGUAUGGUGGCGCGAUGUUCUACGUGAAUCCACGUUCGAAGGACAUCAUACCAAAGUCGUACAAUUAGGACCUCGAUAUGGUUUUAUUCUGUUUAUCGUAUCGGAGGUUAUGUUCUUUUUUGCUCUUUUUCGGGCUUCUUCUCAUUCUUCUUUGGCACCUACGGUAGAGAUCGGAGGUAUUUGGCCCCCAAAAGGGAUUGCGGUUUUAGAUCCUUGGGAAAUCCCUUUUCUUAAUACCCUUAUUCCCCUUUCAUCCGGAGCUGCCGUAACUUGGGCUCAUCAUGCUAUACUCGCGGGGAAGGAAAAACGAGCAGUUUACGCUUUAGUAGCUACCGUUUCACUGGCUCUAGUAUUCACAGGCUUUCAAGGAAUGGAAUAUUAUCAAGCACCCUUCACUAUUUCGGAUAGUAUUUAUGGUUCUACCUUUUUCUUAGCAACUGGCUUUCAUGGUUUUCAUGUGAUUAUAGGUACUAUUUUCUCGAUCAUAUGUGGUAUUCGCCAAUAUCUUGGUCAUCUGACCAAGGAGCAUCACGUUGGCUUUGAAGCAGCUGCAUGGUACUGGCAUUUUGUAGACGUGGUUCGGUUAUUCCUAUUUGUCUCUAUCUAUUGGUGGGGAGGUAUAUGAAGGAAGGAAUCAGUGGAUUGAGGAAUGAAAGCUCGAAGACAAAGAGAACCGGGCUUUUCCAAAGAAUUACUGCAGCUUUCCCACUCCCUUUGAUUAUCAUAUACAAAAAGGUCUCUUCCACUUUCCUACCAAAUCUCUCUCUAUUCUGGCACAUAAAUGAAGGGAUCGAAGAGAUUAUGGCAGAUCAUGUUCACCAAGAAAUGACCCGAAAUUGGAUCUUGGUCUAUUUGAGAUUGUUCCUUUUAAUCGUAAUCAAAGAUGUUUUCUUGUCUCUCGUUUCUUUUCUGAAAAAAAAAAAGAACCUAAUGGAUCGAACUCAUAUGCUGUACCUGGUCGUUUAAAUCAGAUCUCUAUUUCGGUACAACGAGAAGGGGUUUACUAUGGUCAGUGCAGUGAGGGUACUUGUAAAUCACUAGGUAGCCAUACAACACUCGUCCCAAGUUUGACUUAGCCCAAGCAAUGCCCAAAGACUCCCAUUUCUUUCUUUCUUGGUCAACAACCAAGCACAUUUCCAACAAGUCUCUCUUCUUUUUUUUUUUUGGGGGGGGGGGGGCAGACAAAUAAAAUGGAAUCUUACUAUUUAUGAAAAACAAUUCAUUUCUACUCACCCCCAGCGAUCUUCACUUUAUGCAAAGUUCCACUUCUUCCUUCCCUUCCAUUAGAUAAUCAAGCUCAGUUUCCAUCUUCUUUUUCUUAAAGAAUAGGAGCGAGACUUUCAUAGUGAAGGGAGAGGCGAAGCCUAGUAACACAGCAUCAUGGUUUAGCCUAGCCCUGACAAGCAGUUCACCGCUUUCACAUGGCAGAACCCAUCACAGCACAGGGAGUCUGGCGCCCCUAUACACUCAUAUCUCGACUUGACAACCAAAAUUGCGGAAAAUGGAAAUUUAUAGAUCGAUGGCGGGGAUGAGCCCAUGUGUACGCCUAACCUUCGGCCACCCCUCAAUGGCACUAAUAAGCACACAAGACACAUAGGUAUAGGGAUGCCUGUUUUACUAGGCGCGAUAGAAUACUCAACCAAGCAUUCAGCUCGAUGGAUUACUCCCGCACCAGAUAGUUCUCAGCCGCAAGGUUGCCGGCAUGCCCCAAUGAGAAGGUACUCUCAAAUCGAAUAUCUCGUGGCACCACAUCUUUAGACAAAGGGCAGGUUUAGCUAUAGCCCAGUCAACUGUUGGAGGCAAAGACAAAGAAAAAACGGAAAAGCCGAGCACACUGCAUCUCCAGUGAACCAUCCUACUAAGGUUUCACGAAGUCAACACAUACGUUCACAGCUAGGGACCAUGUUCAGUCCAUGCCAAUAAAAAACAACAGGAGCUCGCGGUCUAUCAGCACUUGAAGGGCUACACAAUGGAGAUCGGAUCGGCCUCGUAUGGAGCGCUUUUUGGCUCCCCGAAGACCUUCCACGUGACCGGCAAGCUCUUAUUCCAAUUUCUAUAGGACCUAGCUACAACUCUUUAUCUGUUGUCCGUUCCUCUCGCUCAAACAAGGUUUCACGGAGUCGAGUUCAAGUAGCAUCUUUAUAUGUAUCGGAUCAUUUGUGGAUUGAAACUCUCUUUUCUUUCAGCUUUCCCUUUCCAUUGGACCAGGUCAAGGCUGCUGUAAGCAGUUCUGAUCUCAAGCACCUAUCACGGUUUUCGAGUAGCUCUGAUCCACCGGAGCAGUUACAAUUGCUUCAGCUGGAGCUGCGACAAUUGCUUCAGCUGGAGCUGCGACAAUUGCUUUACUUUAGCGGGCGACAAGCGUAGCUGUUCUGAAGUUAUAGUUAGAAAGAGGGGUUGGUAAUCUAAUCCCUCUUAGUGGUCUUAUAGUAGAGUGAGUGAUCCUCGGGUAGUCAUCUAUGAGUUGAAGCAGGAACAAAGAAUCAAUAUAAGGUGAAAGAACCUUCUUUCAUUUGAAUUUCCUGUUUAACUAGUCAGCCUCUAACUUAACUCUUGAAUCUGCGGGCUUGGAAACCUACUUUCUGAAGCGGGCCCUACCACGUAUACAGUCUGCGGAACCACGCCUAGCUGCGGUGUCAAGCUCAUAUCCUCUGCCUCUUUCUUGAAAAGAAACUAUGCCUGAUAAGGCGAAUAAAGACUCAUCUUCUUUCAUAUCAUAUGUGUCAGAAGCAUCAAAUGAUGUUUUAUGAGGUGGGGGAAUCCUAAUCCAAUGCCCUAAGCUCGCGGUGACAGAAUGCUGUUAUGUCCCUGGAGAGUGCUCCCCCAGGAGUUAUGUGCCCGGAGUUCUGUCCCUAGCCCUUUCACCUUCCACGGAACCAGAAGCAUGAAAGAUGGGAUCUAGCAUUUUCGAAGAAAGUCUUUCUCUUUAUUGAUGUCGAACUUCAUCUGCCUUAUAGCGAUGAAAAGAUAUUCCCUUAGUCUUUGCCCAGCUCUUCUUCCAGGGAAACAGUCUUUGAUAGCGCUCUUGCCCGACUUUUCGUGAUUUGUGGCCUUAAGAGAAUCAGGAGAUAUUAAAUAGUUUGGGUCGAGCAUCUAAUCUUAUUAAGAGUUGUCCUUUCAGACCCUAUUCUCCGAAUGGACAAAGAGCAGGAAGUAAAGCACCCGCCUCUAGGAGGGAAGGGGUUAGAGUGUGCCUGAUUCAUAUGCAGUUUCCUCUCUGAAAGAUGCCCAAUCAAGAAGGAUGUGCCACCAUGCCCGAUGGGCAAGAAGCUAGGGCAGUUAAGGAGGGUUAUAUUGGGUGAUCGUAUCCGAACUUGAAAGACUUUCCGCGGAAUCAGAAUCAGAUUGGAUUGAAGGUAAGGACGGCGAAGCUGGAAUUCUAUGGUUUCGAUUCUUCCUAAGUGAUUAGGUCACUCCUCUUCUCUCCGAUUGGGGAAGUCUCCAAUUCCCUUACUUCGAUUUCCAAUGACUCAGUAUAAUGCUCAUUUGACUGUCGCGUAGGUAAAGUGUUUACUGGUCCGCCGGGUGAGACCUCUUGUACUCCUUCUUUCGCUGAUUAAGAGCCGGAUGAGAAUCCUCUCAAAUCCUCGAAUGAGAACUUCCCUUAAGGAAGGAAUGAAUCUAGGGAAGAAGUCGCAAGGAUAGUUCCAUUUCUCCGCUAGCCGGGGACAUGACUUCCAGCUGAUAAACCUGCUCUUGCUCCAUUCGCUGAAUCUGGAGAUUUAUACUUGUUAGAAACUGUAUUCUUACUCUUCUUUGUAUUUCCGGGGGUCUUUCGCAAACUAAGGCAAAUAAAGAGUCUUAUUCUCCCUUUCAGUCAGCCGGAAGUAAGAAGAUUGCUGCUCUAGCCCUAGCUGCUCUACGCGGAUACGAUCUUUCCUUACUGAACAGCUUCCCCAGAUCAUGUUACAAUUAGAGUUGCGGAGAUAGAGAAGGCUCAUUCUCCUUU